rnacentral:rRNA from 1 species
UCCCAGUUCAGAUUGCAGGCUGCAACUCGCCUGCAUGAAGUCGGAAUUGCUAGUAAUCGUGGAUCAGCAUGCCACGGUGAAUACGUUCCCGGGCCUUGUACACACCGCCCGUCACACCAUGGGAGUCGGUAACACCCGAAGCCUGUAGUCUAACCGCAAGGAGGACGCAGUCGAAGGCGGGAUUGAUGACUGGGGUGAAGUCGUAACAAGGUAAC